UCUCUGGGGCAGGAGCCAAGAGACAAACAUAGCUUCACUCAGAGGGGUCAAAGGUCACAGACCACAAUCUGACUAGACGUGAUGAUUCAUAUCAAUAAGGAAUAAAAAUAAACCAGGAACAAGGUUGUUCCCUCAGCUGCCUAACAGAUGCGUUCUGCCCGGGAUCAAUACUCCACCAACCCUACACCUCUUCUCUGUAAGAAGCUGGGUUUCCAUGGCGAUCAAGGACCCGCCUUCCUCCUAAAUCAAUUACCGCAGUGACGUGCAGGCAUGCGGGAAGCAAAUAUAAUAUUUGUUGUUAUUUCUGAAAACAGAGUUGAUCCAAAACUGAAAAUGGAACUCUUAGGAUGGAUAGAUGGAUUUGAAAUUUGAAUUUGUAAAAUGUAAAACAAAAAACCCACCAUGCGUUUUAAUGUCCUUUUUUAGGCUUUUAAAAUAAUAGUCAUAAGAUGUUGUGAUGCUGUGAUUACCAUAGAAUCUGAACUAAUGCUACAUGAAUCAUUCUCACUUUAGUCCUGAUCCUCUCUAGACCUCCUUCUGUAAACGAGACCAUCAGAGAGAAGAUGUUUCUAUAUGCAGACCCAGGUCCUCCACAGAGACCAGUCCACCAUGGACAAUAUAAAUAUAUAUAAAUGCAGAGGAUAUUAUUAUGAUUCAAAUAUUCUCAGCGCUGCGAGUUCUUUGUGUUUUAUCACAGGACUCCUUCCUGAACAUGAAGCAUGCUCACAUGUCAUGUGAUCACUCUGACAUCGUUCUGUUAACUGGUGCCACAUUUAAAAAGUGUCCCUAGUCUAAUUUUGGAUUAAUGCUAAAGUUACUUUUUGGUUUUAAGUCCCAGCUCACAAAAACAACAAUGUUUAAAACUGAUUUACUUCCAUAAAGGAAUUUGUGGCUUCUGAAUAAUGAUGAUUAAAGACUUUUACUAAAUACAGUUAGUGUGUUUAAUUUGAAAAAUUGGCGGAAGAAUCGACCAAUGAGAAUCUCCAACUGAGUCUUUUUUAAUGGUGUAACAAAUGUAAACAAAUUAUUCUCUAAGUGGAUUUGAAUCAGAGUCGAUGUGGAUGAAGCAGGAGCAUAAAAUGAGCGAUGGAGGUAAAGUCUCUGCUGGACAGAAACAACGUGAGGACAGCGUUACCUUCUGGGUCAUCGAGUAGAACCUAAAUAAAGAAUAUGGACUUUCACUGGUUCCCUUAAACAAAACACAACGGAUGAGUCCAUAUCAAGCACAUUCUUAUUUUAUUUGUUUCAUAUUUCUCAUCAAUAAAAGCGACUUUAUUAAGGCUGACAACUCGUUCAAACCCAACAAUGUGAAUCAAACACGUUAGACAAACAGCAGACAUGUAGAAGAAGAAAAAGAGACAAAGUUUAACCUCAAAGGAGCAUAAUUCAUCAUGAGAGCACGUGGAUGACGUCACUCCACCGUGUCUUUCAUAGCAGGAAGAAGUUUGAAUGUCAGAGAAACUAUUAAUGAAAACAUGUCAAUAUAAACCCUUUAUCUUAAAAUGCCAAAUAAAACACUGGAACUGACGUCACAGGGUUGAUCUCCCGUCUCUGCGCGUGGAUCUAGAAGCUGUGGAUCAGAGUCUGACAGAAGCUGAAGGUUCUCCAACGUUUUCAUAGACCACUGCACCUUCGUCUCCAUCUUCACGCUGCACCUGUGAGCAGCAACACCUGAGACUCUGAGACAAAGGGAGCAGAUGAAGCAGCAUCAGUGCUGAAGACGAGAAGAAGAAUCCCUGUUAUGUUGGACUCACUCGGUGAUACAGGCCUCACUUUAUUCUUCUUAUAAACUAGUGAAUCAUCACAAACACAGCGUUUGGUUUCAUUUUUUAAACUCACUUCGUUGACGUCCAUCCGGGUUUCUCUCCCUGAAGGACAGAAGCAUCAGUUUCAUGUUAAGUUUCCUGUGUGUGAAUGUUCCUGAUAGAAGUGACGCCAUGUUCUCACCUUUAGAUCUCUUCCAUGUGAAGAACAACACAACAAGAACAACCACCGUCGCUGCAGCCAGAAUGAUGAACCUCCACCAGCCUGCAAGUCAGAAUCCAAACGUCACAAAGCUUCUCUGUUUAAACACUUUCUCUCAUCUCCUCCCACAGCGAGAGUCCGCCCGGCCUUCAUCCUUCAGAAGGUGGUGAAGAGGCCGAGAGGAAACAUCCUCACUCACUUUGGCUGGUUGGAGAGUCGCUCUGUGCAGGUGGUGUAAUGUUGUCCUCCCCCGAUGGGCCUCCUUUGGUUUAGUGGAAUAUGAUAUGAAACACAGACACAAGAAAAGGAGGUGAAAUAAAUCAGUGUUUACUACCUGAGGAGACUGAAUGAGGAAUAAAAUGAUGUCGUCUUUUCACAAACGUACCUGUUUGUUCACAUGAGAACUGACUGCAGGCUUCAAACAGCAGAGUUUUUCCACUCUGAUUGUUUCUCACUUCACAUCUCAGUGACUUAUAAUACUUUGACUUCUGAUGAAGAGGAGCUUUAAACGUCACAGUAGCUUCACAAGCAGCGUGUGAUGUCGUCAUCACAUCAGUCUGUUUGCCGUCAUAAAGCCACUUUACUGUGUGUUCACACUCAGAGGAUCUCAACACAAAGCAGGACAACUCAACCGAACCCCCGUAGUCCUUUUCCUCCACUGGUGAAGAUGUUCAUAAUGUGAGAAAGACAACAAGAGUAACAUUAACUUCUUCAUAAUUUAAAUGAUAAUAAUGUUUCAGUGUGUGGACAGUUUGAGCUGAAAUGAUUUAAUGUAAAUACUCACUUGUAAACACGUACAGAGAGACCACACCAUCUGGACCUUGUUGUUUUUCUGUUUCAUCAUAAUGUCUGUUGAUGUAACGACCAACAUCUUCACCUGAGACGUUUCUUAUAACCAGAGAACAGUUUGCUGUCAAACUCAGUCUGUUGGUUUUAGCUUCUGGAAUCAAAGCGUUAUUUCUAAACUUCCCAAGUGUAACCAGCUCCACAGUUGAUCCACUACGACUGUAAAGCCAAGUAGAACCGUCACAUCUGUCC
ensembl:lncRNA